UUACCUUGUGGUAUGGUACCUGUGUUUAGU
rnacentral:piRNA from 1 species